ensembl:lncRNA
GUGAGUUUAGAUGCACUGGUCUGUGUGUAGCCCUUUAAGUGAGUUUAGAUGCACUGGUCUGUUUGUAGCCCUUUAAAUGAGUUUAGAUGCACUUCUCUGUUCUGUGUGUAGCCAUUUAAGUGAGUUUAGAUGCGCUGCUCUGUUUUGUAUUCAUAUUUCUUUUUCAACAUGAAGAUGGUUGUCAGCAAGCGUUCUGUGUUCUUCCCUCUCUCAGCUGAAGAGAGAGAGCAGUGUGAAGCGUGUGGACUUUGAAGAGGGCUACAUCAACAUCUACCUCGACAGGCGUGCGUACCAGGGAGCCCUGUUCCCAUCAUGCUUGUGUUUACAUUCCUGUGCUCCUCCCUCACUGUUCUUCUGUGUGCAGCUGAAGAAGGAGGUGUUGAGGAGCUACAGCGUGACCCUGGAGGAGGAGGAGGCCGUCAGGAACCUGAGGCCGGCCGUGGUGAAGGUGUACGACUACUACCAGACAAGUAGGACCCCCUGCAGGCCCACUUCUUAGGACUCGUGUGAGGAGGAGUUAGGAGGAGUGCUCUUCAUUUGAUUGUCCUUUGUGUUGUUUCCAAGGUGACGAGGCAGUGGCAGACUACUCCUCCCCUUGUGCGGAGCGUGAUGAUGUGAAUGAUCUACUAUUGGAACGAUCGGAGCCACCAACAAGAAGCACAUCAAUCAAAUUAAAGCCGGACUAAUGGUUGUGCUAAAUUGUUAAUUGUAGCCAGUGAAUUCUUUGAAUGACAAAAGAUGAGAUUUAAUUUCAACAUAUACACUUUAAAAAAGAGGAAAUUGACAAGAUGACAUGCAUUCAAGAAAGCCAAUGUUUAUUCAAUUACAAUUCUGUCUUUUAAUCGAUAAAGAUAAUCCAUAGUUUCCAUUGGCGUGACAGUGAGCUAUGAAACAAGGUACCGUAAACACAAUAAUGGUCUAACAGUCGACUGGGAUUGAAUGGAUCCGAACGACGGAAACAAACCAGUAUUACAAAACAGCUUAGGUAGAAGCUGUUCAGCCUGUGCAGCCUUUGUCUGCACAGGCUGGGUGAUUACAGGUGAAUUGUGAUUGUGAUUUCAUGUAGUGUGCCUUGUUCUACAUUUUAUUCUCUUUCUAACAUAUUAUAUUAAUUCAUCACUACCAUAGUUUAAAUUUCGCCACAAUAAUAUCUUUAAAUGACAAAAUACAAAUAUCUGUUUCCCUCGUACAACACUGUUUGAUUUUCAAUGGAACCCAUCUUUUUUAGAAAGUUUGGAUCCCUAUC